GUGGCAGCGAUGGCAAUGGGCCGGGCAGGGACCAUGGAAGUGGUGGCAGAGGUGGCAGGAGUGGGGCAGCUGGCGGUGGAGAAGGCUGUGGUCUUCAGGGGUCUGUAGGUGGAGGCAUGGCUCGGGCCAGCAGCAGGAACAGCAGCGAAGAGGCCUGGGGGGCACUUCAGGCUCCGCAACAGCAGCAGAGUCCGGCAGCAUCUUCUCUUGAGGGAGCAAUUUGGAGACGAGCUGGAACCCAGACUCGCGCCCUGGAUGCCAUCCUUUAUCAUCCACAGCAAUCCCAUCUGGUUGGGAGCACUGCUCUGGCUUCGAGAGCUGUGCCCAGGAGUGAAUACCCAGCCCUACCUCUGUGAGAGUGGCCAUUGCUGUGGGGAGACUGGCUGCUGCACCUACUACUAUGAACUCUGGUGGUUCUGGCUGC
rnacentral:lncRNA from 1 species